CAGCACACAUGAUAAUUCAAAAGACACAUAGCCCCUCACUGCAGCACACAGCCCUCAUUGUCCACCCACACCCACACCCACACAACACAGCCCACCCACACUCAUGCUAACCCCAAAUAUCACUCUGGAGCCUACUCCAUCUGUUGGGUCAGUGUGAAGCAAUAGAAGCAGCUACACACAUGGUUGAGCUCUUUAUUUAGAAUCUCUCCAUGUUCAAUCAUCACUGGUAUUCACAAUUUAUUACCAUUCAGCUGUUAAUUUCUCAGCCAAGUUACACCUGUGUGACAGCACAAGAGUUAAGUCAUAGGUGACUUCAGUACUUCUGAGACAUGCCCCACUGACAGCAAAGGAGAAAAGAGCUGCCUCCCACAGAAUAGGCACAGCAGGAGCAGCAGUACUGAUUGGAGCCGAAUUUCUUUCAGCUCUAGUCAUCUCAAAGGUUACUUGUAACUAUAGCAGGUUCUAAUAACCAUGGCUGCAUAGAAUUAUUUCUGAAAACUACAGUCACCAGUUCUAGUGCCCAAAUGAUUAUUAUGAAAUACUUCGU